rnacentral:tRNA from 1 species
GACUCGGUGGCGCAAGGGUAGCGCGUCUGACUCCAGAUCAGAAGGUUGCGUGUUCGAAUCACGUUCUGGUCA